CCCUUAGAUGUUCUGGGCCGCACGCGCGCUGCACUGACGAAGUCAGCGAGCAUGUCCUACGCCGACAGGUGCGGGGAAUCUUGUCAAACUUCGUCGUGAUGGGGAUUGAUUAUUGAAAUUCUUGAUCAUCAACGAGGAAUUCCUAGUAAGCGCAAGUCAGCAGCUUGCGUUGAUUACGUCCCUGCCCUUUGUACACACCGCCCGUCGCUACUACCGAUUGAAUGGUUUAGUGAGAUCUUCGGAUUGGCGCCACUGCGGCUCAGCAAUGGGCUCGGUGGAUGCCGAAAAGUUGAUCAAACUUGAUCAUUUAGAGGAAGUAAAAGUCGUAACA
rnacentral:rRNA from 1 species